rnacentral:rRNA from 1 species
AGCAGCCGCGGUAAUUCCAGCUCCAAUAGCGUAUAUUAAAGUUGUUGCAGUUAAAAAGCUCGUAGUUGAAUUUCGGGGUUAGUAGGUUGGUCAUGCCUCUGGUAUGUACUGGUCUCACUGAUUCCUCCUUCCUGAUGAACCUUAAUGCCAUUAAUUUGGUGUUUUGGGGAAUUUGGACUGUUACUUUGAAAAAAUUAGAGUGUUUAAAGCAAGCUAACGCUUGAAUACAUUAGCAUGGAAUAAUGAAAUAGGACGUUCGAUCCUAUUUUGUUGGUUUCUAGGAUUGACGUAAUGAUUAAUAGGGAUAGUUGGGGGCAUUAGUAUUCAAUUGUCAGAGGUGAAAUUCUUGGAUUUAUUGAAGACUAACUACUGCGAAAGCAUUUGCCAAGGAUGUUUUCAUUAGUCAAGAACGAAAGUUAGGGGAUCGAAGACGAUCAGAUACCGUCGUAGUCUUAACCAUAAACUAUGCCGACUAGGGAUCGGAUGAUGUUAAUUUUUUAAUGACUCA